CAACUCUGGUGUCUCCUAAUUUGCGGAUAAAUCUUUCGCCUUUUACCAAAGAUUUCCAUGGGGAGGCACAAUACAAUGAGUCGUGCCUCAUUAUUUCUUGGCUUUUUCUUCGGACGGAG
rnacentral:snRNA from 1 species